rnacentral:lncRNA from 1 species
CGACAUGAGCGUCGAGUCUUCAAGCCAGGACGAAACAACUCGGGAAUUUUUUCAUUUCAACUUCGGUUACGUUUUUACUUCUGCUGCUGCAAAAGCAUUUCUUCAGGAAUGAUUCAGAGACUGAUACUCGUAUGCAUGGCACUUCCCUUUGCGUGCAGAAUGGAUGCCGAAGGCACAUCCGCAGGAGAAAUAUCAGAGUGCGAACGAGUGAUGAAGGCAAUUUACAACUGCUCAGAGAAGUACGAGUACUACCUACCGGAAGAGUUCUUCAAAAGGGU